rnacentral:rRNA from 1 species
GACGAACCGAGCGAACGUUGUUCGGAAUCACUGGGCUUAAAGGGCGCGUAGGCGGGCAUUCAAGUCUGUGGUGAAAUCCUCCAGCUCAACUGGAGAACUGCCAUGGAUACUGGGUGUCUCGAGGAAGGUAGGGGUAUGCGGAACGAUUGGUGGAGCGGUGAAAUGCGUUGAUAUCAAUCGGAACUCCGGUGGCGAAGGCGGCAUACUGGACCUUUUCUGACGCUGUGGCGCGAAAGCUAGGGGAGCAAACGGG